CCUCCAUUUCUUGGCAUACAUGUGGUUGUUAAGUACUCAUGUGUGUUAUGUACGGAGGAAAAGUAAGUGCAGCGCUAUGUCUUCGGUACCGGUGUGUAUUUUAUCGUCUGCCGGUUCUAUCCUCAAUCGCUGUGACAUUC
ensembl:snoRNA small nucleolar RNA SNORA57